UACGAAGGGGGCUAGCGUUGCUCGGAAUUACUGGGCGUAAAGGGCGCGUAGGCGGACAGUUUAGUCAGAGGUGAAAUCCUGGAGCUCAACUCCAGAACUGCCUUUGAUACUGGAGAGCUUGAGUCCGGGAGAGGUGAGUGGAACUGCGAGUGUAGAGGUGAAAUUCGUAGAUAUUCGCAAGAACACCAGUGGCGAAGGCGGCUCACUGGCCCGGUACUGACGCUGAGGUGCGAAAGCGUGGGGAGCAAACAGG
rnacentral:rRNA from 1 species